GCAUUUGCCUCAUCUCUCCUGUUUAUUUUCAGGAUCAGAUAAUCACUGCAUUACAAUCUAAGCAAAAUGAUCACGUUGCUGUGAAAGCUAUCUAUGAUCCGUAUGUUCUGUAGAGGGAAUUGGAGAUACUGCUCUUCCUUCAUAUCUAAUCUUAAUGAACUCAAAUGAAAUUUCAUCUCCAGGAUCCUGUUUUAUAAAAGGUCCCAUCUACUUGCAAGUUCCGGAGUCUCAUUC